CCGGUAAACGGCGGCCGUAACUAUAACGGUCCUAAGGUAGCGAAAUUCCUUGUCGGGUAAGUUCCGACCUGCACGAAUGGCGUAAUGAUGGCCAGGCUGUCUCCACCCGAGACUCAGUGAAAUUGAACUCGCUGUGAAGAUGCAGUGUACCCGCGGCAAGACGGAAAGACCCCGUGAACCUUUACUAUAGCUUGACACUGAACACUGGUCCUUGAUGUGUAGGAUAGGUGGGAGGCUUUGAAGCGUGGACGCCAGUCUGCGUGGAGCCAACCUUGAAAUACCACCCUU
rnacentral:rRNA from 1 species